GCCGACACAUUCCAGCCAAUCAGCAGCAGACCCUCCCUCCCAGACCCUCCCACCUCCUGGACAGCAUCCAUUGUGAAGCUGCAUUCUUAGUGAGCUGUCCAGGAGGUGGGAGGGUCUGGGAGAGAGGGUCUGCUGCUGAUUGGCUGGAAUGUGUCUG
rnacentral:miRNA from 1 species